GAUGUACGCUGGCGGCGUGCCAAAUACAUGCAAGUCGAGCGAACGGACGAGAAGCUUGCUUCUCUGAUGUUAGCGGCGGACGGGUGAGUAACACGUGGAUAACCUACCUAUAAGACUGGGAUAACUUCGGGAAACCGUAGCUAAUACCGGAUAAUAUUUUGAACCGCAUGGUUCAAAAGUGAAAGACGGUCUUGCUGUCACUUAUAGAUGGAUCCGCGCUGCAUUAGCUAGUUGGUAAGGUAACGGCUUACCAAGGCAACGAUGCAUAGCCGACCUGAGAGGGUGAUCGGCCACACUGGAACUGAGACACGGUCCAGACUCCUACGGGAGGCAGCAGUAGGGAAUCUUCCGCAAUGGGCGAAAGCCUGACGGAGCGACGCCGCGUGAGUGAUGAAGGUCUUCGGAUCGUAAAACUCUGUUAUUAGGGAAGAACAUAUGUGUAAGUAACUGUGCACAUCUUGACGGUACCUAAUCAGAAAGCCACGGCUAACUACGUG
rnacentral:rRNA from 1 species